rnacentral:rRNA from 1 species
AGAGUUUGAUCCUGGCUCAGGAUGAACGCUGGCGGCGUGUUUUAGGCAUGCAAGUCGAACGGUAGCCCUUUUUGGGUAAGAGUGGCAGACGGGUGAGUAACGCGUAGGAACCUACCCUAGAGUCAAGAAUAACUUCAGGAAACUGAGGCUAAUACUGGAUAGUUCUAGAGUUUAACUUUAGGCAAAGGGUGUAACUACCCGCUCUAGGAGGGGCCUGCGUCCUAUCAGCUUGUUGGUAAGGUAAUGGCUUACCAAGGCUUACGGGUAGCCGGUGUGAGAGCACGAUCGGUCACAAGGUCACUGAGACACGGGGCCUACGUCUACGGACGGCAGCAACCAAGAAUCUUGCGCAAUGGGCGAAAGCCUGACGCAGCGACGCCGCGUGAAGGAUGAAGGCCUUCGGGUUGUAAACUUCUUUUAUAUAGGAGCAUAGUGAGAGUACUAUAUGAAUAAGCACCUGCAAACUACGUGCCAGCAGCCGCGGUAAUACGUAGGGUGCAAGCGUUAUCCGGAAUUACUGGGCGUAAAGAGUUUCGUAGGCGGUUAAAAAAGUCAUUUGUUCAAGCCCGAGGCUUAACUUCGGAAAGGCAAGUGAUACUUUUUGACUAGUAUUCAGUCGGGGAUGCUGGAAUAUCUGGUGGAGGGGUGAAAUCCGUUGAGAUCAGAUAGAACACCGAGAGCGAAGGCAGGCAUCUAGGCUGCAAUAGACGCUGAUGAACGAAAGCUAGGGUAGCAAAAGGGAUUAGAGACCCCUGUAGUCCUAUGCUGUAAACGAUCCCUACUAGUUUCUCCAGCGUUACGCUGGGGGGGCGUAAGCUAACGCGUUAAGUAGGGCGCCUGGGAAGUACGACCGCAAGGUUAAAACUCAAAGGAAUUGACGGGGAGGCGCACAACCAGUGGAGCAUGUGGUUUAAUUCGAUACGAAGCGCAGGACCUUACCUGGGUUUGACAUUCCGUUGUAGUCUCCGGGAAACCGGAGAGGCCUUCGAGGAUACGGAACAGCUGCUGCAUGGUUGUCGUCAGCUCGUGUCGUGAGAUGUCCGCUUAAGUGCGGUAACGAGCGCAACCCUCGUUCUGUGUUACAUAUCACAGAAGACUGCCUCAGUCAAACUGGGGAGGAAGGAGAGGAUGACGUCAAAUCAGCACGGCGCUUAUAUCCAGGGCAACACACAUCCUACAAUGAUUGGUACAAUGGGUUGCAAAGUGGUAACAUGGAGCUAAUCUCUUAAAACCAGUCUCAGUUCAGAUUGUGGGCUGAAACUCGCCCACAUGAAGUCGGAAUUGGUAGUAAUCGCGGGUCAGCAGACCGCGGUGAAUACGUUCUCGCCUCUUGUACACACUGCCCGUCAAGCGAGGAGAGUUGGGGGUGCCCGAAGU